rnacentral:rRNA from 1 species
UCGAAACCUGCAAGAGCAGAAAGACCCACGAACCCGUUUACAAACACCGGGGGGGCGACGUUCGGCCAAACACCGGCGCCGUCCCCCCGGGAUCGGCGAGAGCCCGCCUCCCUGCGAGUCGGGCUCCUCCCGGCACCAACAAACCCCGGCGCGGAUUGCGCCAAGGACCAUGAACAAUAGCGCGUCCCACGCCGCUCGGUUGCCCGAAGUGCGCGUGGGGCGACGUGUCGUUUCGAUACAUUAGAACGACUCUCGGCAACGGAUAUCUCGGCUCUCGCAUCGAUGAAGAACGUAGCGAAAUGCGAUACUUGGUGUGAAUUGCAGAAUCCGUGAACCAUCGAGUCUUUGAACGCAAGUUGCGCCCGAAGCCUUCGGGCCAAGGGCACGUCUGCCUGGGCGUCACGCACCGCGUCGCCCCCCACCCCAAACCAAGGGGACAGGGGGCGGAUUAUGGCCCCCCGUGCGCUCCCCGCUCGCGGUCGGCCUAAACACAGACCCCGUGGCCGCGAAACGCCGCGACGAUUGGUGGUUUACUUGUGGCCUCGUGCCCCAAGCAUCGCGUCGCAACCUUGGCGUCCCACGGGCGCUCAGAGGACCCCCAGGAGGACCCCCGUCGCCCCGAGUGCCGGGGAGGAUCUCCCAACCGUU